CAGUCGCCGCGGUAAAACGUAGGGUGCAAGCGUUAAUCGGAAUUACUGGGCGUAAAGCGUGCGUAGGCGGCUUUUUAAGUCGGAUGUGAAAUCCCUGAGCUUAACUUAGGAAUUGCAUUCGAUACUGGGAAGCUAGAGUAUGGGAGAGGAUGGUAGAAUUCCAGGUGUAGCGGUGAAAUGCGUAGAGAUCUGGAGGAAUACCGAUGGCGAAGGCAGCCAUCUGGCCUAAUACUGACGCUGAGGUACGAAAGCAUGGGGAGCAAACAGGAUUAGAUACCCGCGUAGUCCCUGUCUCUUAUAC
rnacentral:rRNA from 1 species